rnacentral:rRNA from 1 species
UACGUAGGGCGCAAGCGUUAUCCGGAAUUAUUGGGCGUAAAGAGCUCGUAGGCGGUUUGUCGCGUCUGCCGUGAAAGCCCGGGGCUCACCCCCCGGAAGGGCAUUGGAAACUGGCGGACUCGAGUCUCGGAGAGGAAGGUGGAAUUCCUGGUGUAGCGGUGGAAUGCGCAGAUAUCAGGAGGAACACCGGUGGCGAAGGCGGGUCUCUGGGCAGUAACUGACGCUGAGGAGCGAAAGCCAGGGGGAGCAAACGGG